AAUCGUCGGAAAUGUUUUGACAACCCAUCCUUCCUUAUUCCUAAACCAACAAAGAAACGAUCGUUAGUUGGUUCUUCGUUGCCAAGCAAGCCUAGGAAGGUCCACAAAAUUUAACUUACCAAUGGCCUCUAAAAGGACCUUAUUCAAGCUGCCGGAUUCACACGCGUGAAUUGAUCAACAAGACUACUUACCCUCUUAGUGCGACACUGAUUUUUACUCUAUACCAAAACCACUAAAACAUUUAAUUAUUGAUUUGAGGGGGUUGGCUAACUGUUUGCGCCUCUCCGACAUCCAACGGGCCCCAUUUCAAACAUGUUCAAAAUGACAAAUAUAUAUAGACGCAGAGGAUAAAUAAAUAAUGAGAAUUGAAUAGAACAUAUAUUAAACCAAAUCAAUCUCUCAAAUGCAUUACUGAAGUUCACUAAAUCUCACCUAGGAAAAGAAAGUGAGUUAGCCACUCAUAGUGGGCUUUUCAAAACAAAUGAGUUCUUAGAGAACAGAGAGAAGAAAAAGAAGAAGAAAAAUUAUAGAAGUAGUAGUCGCUGCUCUGUGCAGCGUCUAGAAGAAGAGAGAUGAUUCCUCGCUCAUCCCAGCUUGCCUUUUAUCCCCCAAAAAGGCUAGACUUUUUCUUUUUUUUUCUCGAUUUGCAAUCUUUCCUUGAUUUUUGGCAAAUCCCUAGCUUUCCAAAUUGAGCUUCAUGAUUUUCUGUCUCCAAAUCUGGGUUUGAAUAGAAUUUGGUUUUAAAUUUUAAAUGUGCACCUUUUUCUUUUUUAAUUGACUGCUGUUCGUGGCUCUUAUCUUUGUCUAAGGCUGAGCUGUCUGGAACAGGAAGCCUUGCCCAAGGCUUGUUUCUGUGUUGAUGAUCCACUUCACGAAUUCUCCCUCUCUUCAUGUUAUUUUCCCCCGUUUUGACCUUUUAUCCUACACUGCAACAAAACACAAAAAAUACCUUGGGUUAGAUGAUGUACCAUCAAGUUCAAUAACCUAAAAAUGGGUGAUAAAGAUGUUGUUUUUAGGCAUUAUCAAACUUCCCCACACUUAUCAUGUGCUCAUCAUUAAGCACGACACAGUACACUCUACAAAUCUACAUUUUUUCACCUUAAAGUCACUUACUCCUAAUCAUUUCAACAUAACCAUAUGUUACAUCUCAACCCUCACAUUGCUAAAAUAACCAUUAGUUAGUAAUUUGUGAACUUCAGUUUCAUGGACCCACACCCAAAAAUAAUCAUUUUGACAACAUCCAAACAUGAUAUGGGAGACUUUUGUAAAUUUUCCUUAUAAAAAUAAGUUAAGAGGAACAACCAACACAUAGUAGAACAAGUAUCGAACUUGUCUAGAUAUAGAGGUUUCAUGCAAAUUGGUCCAUGCAGA
rnacentral:lncRNA from 1 species